rnacentral:tRNA from 1 species
GUCCCGGUAGCUCAGCUGGUAGAGCAUUCGGCUGUUAACCGAAGGGUCAGAGGUUCGAGUCCUCUCCGGGACG